GGUCUGGCCAGAGGGAUUUGCUGUACCGCUCUUAGCAGCAGAAACACACAGACACAAUGGCUUUAAAGGUGGCGAUUUGCCUACUGCUGGUGGCUUUAAUGACAAGACCCUGGACGGUUGAGUCCAACUCCACCACAAUGUGGCCGACAACCGCCAAUAGCAGCGCCACGUCCCCGGUGCCCUGCGGCGUCCUGUGGGCCUUCGGUCCGCUCACGGUGGCCCUCACCUCCACCGCCCUCCAGCACGGCGCUCUCCUGUAGCCUGCUCCACCCGGCAGCCUGCCUCCUGGGCCCACCAUAGAGCUGCACUGCAACCCGACUCCAGGCCUUCCCACCCCUAGUACAUCACCAGCCCCACCUCACCACCUCACCACCUCAUCACCUCUCCACCUCAUCACCUCCCCACCUCCCCACCUCUCCCAGGACCCCACAUGGACUUUCAGUUAAGAACCCUAAUAUUUCAUAACACGGGCAAAACACUAGAUUUCAGUCCUGUGCUCUUCUUUUUUUCCCACUUUAACGAAAGAUUAUGCCAGGGAGUUAUUUUUUUUAGUUAGGUAGGCAUACUGUAUAAAAUGUUUAACUUUUCUGCAAAAACAAAACUGGAAAGUACAAUUAUAAAACCCCACAGGAUGAUACUUUGAAGGUAAAAUGAGGGGCCAGCAACGGUGGGAGAAAAGUAGUCAGGUAAUCACAGCAAAAAGCAGUGAAUGGUAGGCUGAUCCAGGAGGGGACUACCAGAUCACACACAAACGGAGGAGAAGACACACCCAUACUCCGAGGAGAACCAAAGGAGAUUGCUGUACUUUUUGUAAUGCUUAAACCCAUUUUUAUUAAUUUAGCUGGCUCCAAAAAAAUUGGGUUACAAAUAGAAACAAGAACCAUUUGUGAUCAUUAAUGAUGGCAAAUUUAUAUGACAAUCAGAUGACAUUAUACCAAAUGUAAUGGAAUGACGGUACAUGACAUACAGCAUUUAGCCAAGAGCAAGCAUCUCAUCUCUAUAUCCUGUUUUGAAUCAAUCAUUGGAUGAAUAAAUGCAGCUGAAGAUU